UACGAAGGGAGCUAGCGUUGUUCGGAAUUACUGGGCGUAAAGGGCGCGUAGGCGGCUUUGAAAGUCAGAUGUGAAAGCCCCGGGCUUAACCUGGGAACUGCAUUUGAUACUGCAAGGCUAGAGAUUGUGAGAGGUAAGUGGAAUUAUGAGUGUAGAGGUGAAAUUCGUAGAUAUUCAUAAGAACAUCAGUGGCGAAGGCGGCUUACUGGCACAAUACUGACGCUAAGGCGCGAAAGCGUGGGGAGCAAACAGGAUUAGAUACCCUGGUAGUCCACGCUGUAAACGAUGAGUGCUAGAUGUUGGUUGGGUCACCAAUCAGUGUCGAAGCUAACGCAUUAAGCACUCCGCCUGGGGAGUACGGUCGCAAGAUUAAA
rnacentral:rRNA from 1 species